rnacentral:rRNA from 1 species
GACGAACGCUGGCGGCGUGCCUAAUACAUGCAAGUAGAACGCUGAAGAGAGGAGCUUGCUCUUCUUGGAUGAGUUGCGAACGGGUGAGUAACGCGUAGGUAACCUGCCUGGUAGCGGGGGAUAACUAUUGGAAACGAUAGCUAAUACCGCAUAAAAUUGAUUAUUGCAUGAUAAUUAAUUUAAAGAUGCAACUGCAUCACUACCAGAUGGACCUGCGUUGUAUUAGCUAGUUGGUGAGGUAACGGCUCACCAAGGCGACGAUACAUAGCCGACCUGAGAGGGGGAUCGGACACACUGGGAAUGAGACACGGACCAGAAGACUACGGGAGGCAGCAGUAGGGAAUAUUCGGCAAUGGGGGGAACCCUGACCGAGCAACGCCGCGCGAGGGAAGAAGGGUUUCGGAUCGUAAAGCUCUGUUGUAAGAGAAGAACGGGUGUGAGAGUGGAAAGUUCACACUGUGACGGUAUCUUACCAGAAAGGGACGGCUAACUACGUG